rnacentral:rRNA from 1 species
CCUUAUCCUGCUAACUAGAAGGCAUUGUCCUUUGGACAGUGAAAUUUUCUUCUUCUUAGAGGGACUAUCUGUGACUAACAGAUGGAAGAAAGGCAAUAACAGGUCUGUGAUGCCCUUAGAUGUUCUGGGCCGCACGCGCGCUACACUGACAAAGCCAGCGAGUCUCUCCUGGACCGGAAGGUCUGGGUAAUCUUGUGAAACUUUGUCGUGAUGGGGAUUGACCAUUGCAAUUAUUGGUCAUGAACGAGGAAUUCCUAGUAAGUGCGAGUCAUCAGCUCGCGCUGAUUACGUCCCUGUCCUUUGUACACACCGCCCGUCGAUACUACCGAUUGAAUGGCUUAGUGAGGCCUUUGGAUGACUUGCUCUGGGCCGCAAGGUACCGGGUGAGACAGAAAUUGGUCAAACUUGGUCAUUUAGAGGAAGUAAAAGUCG